UCAGUCCUUAUAAUGCUACUUGUAUGCAUGUUUUCAGGGCUGAUGAUUUGGCACUGGACAGCAACUGUGAGCUAAACAAGGACGAAACCAGCAAACGUGCCACACUUGACAGGGAAAAGCCCACAAAGUCUCCACCUACACAAAAACUACCAGCAAUUGAGUAAAUCUGGGAGCAGGAGAGGUGGCCCUCCUCAGAGAAGGGCACACCAAAUAAUUGUUUGCUUUUUAAUUAAACAAAAUAACAUGAGGGGGGGGUCUCAGGAAUGCAGAAUGAAUAAACUCCUAAAAGAACAGAGAGUGUUUGCUUUUUCCAACAGUAAACAAGGGGUGGGAGAAGGAGACUGUAUAUUCAAUUGUCUAAAAGAGUGAAGAGAGAUGCUGUGAUGGGAAGCAGCCAGCAGACAUCCUCACAGCUUCUAGGCUGGAAAGCCACAAGGCCAUGGAACCACCUUAGAAUAACCACCUGCCACACCAAUUCUGGGUCAGAGAUCAACUCAAUAAAAGGAAAUGGCACAGUUCUGAGGAGACUCCA